ACAUUACCCAAAUGUAAAUAAGGGCUUUAACCCUGUUGUCUCCUUUAUCUUCUCAUUCUUCUUCAAGGACAUCACUGCAUGCAGCCUCUCCAUCACCAGUCGAAGAAAAGCCACCGCCGCUGGCGUAGCCAUCGCUAAGACUGCUGCUGCCUCCCUACUGUUACAACAAUCGAAGAACCAAGCUGCCGCCUCUACCUGUUGCUGUCGACGUCAACCACCAACUCGCCUCUCCCCUGUUUUCUCCCCUGUUGCUGAGACAAAGAGAGAAAUCAAAUCACGGGUAAAAAGAGGGAACCAAACUCCUCAACUGUUUAAUCACCAGAUUCUGGUUAGCUUCAUUAACGCUUCUUUCCUUAUUUGAUUUUAUUGAUGCAAUUACAUUUAUCUGAUGCUAGGUUUGGAACUAUUGAGUGAUUCGGUUGCGCAUGAACUCCUUUCUCCACUUUUCUCAUUUUGUUUUCUGCAUCGAUGUUUGAAUUCUGUGUUACAUUGCUAUUGAAUCACCAUGGUUGAUAGUUUCAACGAUGUUAUAAUAAUGACUUUGAUAUUAAUUAGUUCUGAAGCUUUUCAUAUACUCCUAUGAUUAAAUCUCGUUGCAAUUUAAUAGAUGAAAAGCAACAGCAUAUUUUAGUGAAGCUGUAGAUUCAAGAAAUGUAGUAUAGGAAUCUUGGGAAAGUUUUUUGGAGGUUUUUACUAGGGUAAUGCUUUUUUUUUUUCAAUUAUUAUUUAAAAAUAUUGAAAUGAAAUGUUGUGGUAUUGUUUCUUUUUCUUCUUUCAUUGUUUUCUGUAGUUUUGAUGUAAAAUCUUGGGUUUUUUGUUUAUUUUAUUAUUAUUUUUUAAAGGUUAAUAUAUGGGAUGCAGGGAAAUGACUGUAUUCACAUAAGCUGAUACAAAUCUAUUUUUCUUUCUUUAAUGUCCGUGUUUUGAUCUUCAGUAUAAUCUUGGGGAGUUCUUUCAAGGUGUUCAUGUUAUUUGGCCAAACAAAGAUGGUUUUCAUGUUAACUAACUAAUUCAAUUUUCAUGCUUAAAGUUCCUCUUUUUAUAUAGGUCAUAAAUGAAUAUUUUGGUUUGUUUAAGAGGAUAAAUUUUGACAGUGUAUUUGAUUUGGGGGGCAUUAUAAGAAAUGGAUGAACUUUGUAUAUGAACUUUGUAAUGGGGAAAUGUGUGUGCUUCCCGUGUUCAUUUUGCAUCGCCCGACAAAUCAUUGGUAGUUUGGUACUGUCUUGAGCUAAAGAGUUCAGUUUUGUAAUUAGUGAACUUUGAUUGGUUACCUCGUUGAUCUUUUUAUACCGUCUCGGCAAGAACUAUAUUGUUUAUCCCUGAUUGGUUAUUUCCAAGGCUAAUAUACCUCGAUCUAGUUAUGUUAUGUUGUGCUAGUUCAUAUAGGAGUUUCAGGUAGUCAAACAUAUUAUGAUUUCUAAUUGGGAAGUGGAUUGAGCUUUUUAUAGACUAUAGUUGUGCAGGAGCUAUUUAUAGUUGUGACCGGUGAACCAUUAACUUGAUGCUUUUUUAGCACAGUCCAGAAUCACAAUUCACAACUUGAAUGGCUAAUGGAUCUACCGCCUCUAGUUUUAAUGGUAUGCAGUGACAACAAAAUCUCAUUUUAUAUACUGAGUAGACUUUGCUCGUAACAAUAUCCCCCACCCGACAUUAUAUUAACAUAAGUAGAAAGAAUAUGAUUCCUCCUUUGCAGAAAUAAUGCUUCAUGUGUUUGAUGAAUACUCUUUCGAAUUGUUGGUUUCAACCAAAGUUGCAUAAUCACUCUGCUCUAAGAGUUUUGUUUUUAUUUAUUUAUUUUUUUUUGGAAAAAGGGGGGGGGGGGGGGGGUUUCUUUUUUCCUAAUAUUUCAUUGCAUUGCGUAGUAAGAAGGACAAUAAGACACAUAGUAAGGUUGAUCCAUCUCAAGCUUAGAUGGGAAGGGAAAGCAAUGGUAAUAUAGAACAGAGGUUGAAUCAGAUGGCUUCAGAAGAAGAAGGACAAGCCGAAGAAGAAGCACAAGAAGCUCCUCCACCACCCCUCGUGUGCCUCAAGAGCAUUAUUUUCCGCCACAAGAGUAUUGGCAACAAUUGACUGCGUCCCUUGAGCAAAUAAGGGUGAACCAAAAUAGCCAUGAUGUCCUUUUCCGUCAGAUAAUGGUGAACCAAGAUAACCUUCUCCGUGAGAUAAGGGUGAACCAAGAUAACCAUAGUGUCCUUCUCCGUCAGAUUGUGAAUGUGCAAGAAAGAAUGCACCUCGAGCUUCUCCAAUUGAGACAGGAGAUAGGGAGGCUGCAAGGACCACAAGGAGCACAACCGGAUAACAGGGAUGGCCACCACGAUCAUUGAGGUGGUUGAGUUCUUUUCAUGCUUGCCUUCUGCUUUUCUUCCUUUAUGAUUAUGAUUAUGUUUCUGUUUUCAGUUUAUUUCGGUUUAUUUGCAUGAGUCCUAUUUUUCUAUGUUUUUUUAGUUUUUAGUUUAAUGUUUCUAUGUUUUUUUAGUUUUUAGUUUAAUGUUUUUAUUUUAAUGAUGUCUCAUGUCAUGUCUUCAAGCAGUAUUAAAAAAAAAGAAUAGAAAAGUGGUGUUAUCAUAUUAGAAAUUGAAUUUAUUUUACAA